GAUGAACGCUGGCGGCGUGCCUAAUACAUGCAAGUCGAGCGAACGGACGAGAAGCUUGCUUCUCUGAUGUUAGCGGCGGACGGGUGAGUAACACGUGGAUAACCUACCUAUAAGACUGGGAUAACUUCGGGAAACCGGAGCUAAUACCGGAUGAUAUUUUGAACCGCAUGGUUCAAAAGUGAAAGACGGUCUUGCUGUCACUUAUAGAUGGAUCCGCGCUGCAUUAGCUAGUUGGUAAGGUAACGGCUUACCAAGGCAACGAUGCAUAGCCGACCUGAGAGGGUGAUCGGCCACACUGGAACUGAGGCACGGUCCAGACUCCUACGGGAGGCAGCAGUAGGGAAUCUUCCGCAAUGGGCGAAAGCCUGACGGAGCAACGCCGCGUGAGUGAUGAAGGUCUUCGGAUCGUAAAACUCUGUUAUUAGGGAAGAGCAUAUGUGUAAGUAACUGUGCACAUCUUGACGGUACCUAAUCAGAAAGCCACGGCUAACUACGUG
rnacentral:rRNA from 1 species